GUGAAUUGAAUAUGUUAGCGGACCUCUUCGGAGUCCCUAGCAUCAAAUCAUAUCCAUAACACCUGUGAACUGUAAGGCUGUCUUGAAAACGAAAGUGAUUAGAGCGCCUGCCCCAAUUUUAUACAAACAUUAAAGUAACAAACGUAGUCCUUAUAUAAUCUAAUA
rnacentral:misc_RNA from 1 species